GCUCCUUUUGUUGUACGUCUCUCUGUCUCUCUCAAUUCACAAAUGCACAAUAUUUUCUUUUUUUGGGUAUUUUGAGGCUAAGUUUUAAUUUUUCACACAUCCCUUGGUUCGGGUUAGGAUCCCGUACCGAAACUGAUAACCCAAAUCUCAAACCAAUUCAUUUCUGGACGGGAUCUCAAAAUCGAAACUGAACCAAAAUACAAAUCCAAAUUCAAAUCCUAGAACCCAAUUUUCACACACCCUAGAAAUCUAAUUUUAAUUCAAACAAAAUUGCAUCAACCAGAGAAAAUUAGUUCGAACCAAUCCGGUGCUGCUUUCGAUUCUGAUACUAAUGAGUUUGUGAUUAGGGCCAUCUCUUUCCUACUCCUUCCUGCUUGCUGGAUACGCUGAACCUGAUUUGCUUGUUGUUUGUAUGGUGGCUGGAGCGAGAUGAGAGGGUAUGGUGAGGUGGUCGGAGUCGAGACUCGGCGGAGGUGGUGGUGGCUAGGUUCGAGAUCCACUAACGGAGUGGUGGUGGCUAGGUUCGAGAUCCACCGACAGAGUGGUGCUGGUGGCUGGGCUUGAGAUCGAGCGAAGGAGAAUUAGAAACGAGGACUGACAGACGAAGAAUUAGGGAGGAGUCGAGAGAAGAGAGAGAGAGCAGUCGAGAGAGAGGUCAAGAAAGGUUAGGGUUAAUUAUAAAUGAAAGGUUGAGAUUAAUCUCAACCAAAUUCAACGGCUUAUAAUAAUUAAAAUUAUAUAUUUAAUUAUAUAUAAAAAUUGUUCGGUUCGGUUCGGAAUUUUCGAACGAAGGCAGGUUGAAUACCAAAAUCCGUACCAAAACUUUCGGUUCUGGUUCGAUAUGGGUAACCGAUCUGUUCGGGAUUUGUCGGUUGGGAAUUUUUCGGCCGGGAUCGGGAAAUUUUGGAAUGUUUUUUCCAGCCCUAGAAACAAUCAUCCCAUUAAAACGAUGAAAACGGCAUCCUUUUCCCCUCCAUAGGAAACACCCAUCAUUGCUCCCAACAACAAUCGUUUUCAACCUUGGAAACCUGAGCUUCCUCUCCUUGUAAGAUUCUCCCCCCUUCCCACAAUCCCAUUCCAUUCCCUUUCCUUUCCAUCCCUCAACUCCUUCCAAUCCUCCCAUCAUUUAAAUUCAAAUACCACCCUCUCUUUUUACUCCACGCACCAAAAGAAAAGGAAAACAAGCUGAAACAUGGAUGAUCCUUCCUCCACCAACUCUGUCAAUGGCUUCUUUUCCUUCCUGGCUCGUGGGGUGGACGAUCUCGAAAGGGUCUAUCUUUCCAGCAACUUCAUGUCAAUCCAAUUCCUUCAAAGGGUUCUUACCCUUCUUCGAUCUUUCCACUCCCAGCUGAACCUUCUUGUCCAAAAGCUCCAUCUGCCUGUUGGGGACAAGUGGCUUGACGAGUACAUGGACGAAAGCUCCAAGCUUUGGGAAGCCUGCCAUGUCCUCAAAUCCGCCGUCUCUGCCAUGGAGAAUUUCUACACCUCCGGCCACGCCAUCACCUCCACCCUCCUCGACUCUCACCAUCUCACUCCUCAGCUCUCCCGCCAGGUGGUGCGCGCGAUUUCUCGGUGGCGGCGGGAAGCGUUUGGAUUGGAGGAAGAGAACAGAGCGCUGAUGGGAACGAGAAUCCAACCACUCUCACUGAAAUUCGACGAAAGGGUCGCCGUCGAAUCGAAGCUUAAUGGGUUCAGCGGGUUCAGGGGAGUCCUGUACGCAAUGAGAAACGUGAGCUCUCUGCUUCUGAUGAUCUUGCUGUACGGACUGGUCUUCUGCUCGCCGGAGGACUCAACUUUUGCAGGGAAGGAGACGACGACUACGAGGGCUGCAUGAUCUUCGGAUCACCGUUCAUGAUAUCGACGGCCAGACUGCAGCAGAGGGUGGCGGCGGAGAUCGGGCAGAUGAGCGAGAGGCCUGGGAUUCUGGUGUGGGAGUUCAGGAGGUCGAAGGCAGCGAUGGAGGAGCUGAGAGGUGAACUGGAGGAGAGGAGGGGCUCACAGGGAGGAGUGAUGGAUUGGGAGAGUGGGAUUAGAGAGAGAGUGGAGCAUCUGAGAGAGUGUUUUGGGGGGUUGACUUCUGGUUCUGAGAAUAUUGUGAGCCAACUUGAUGAUUUGUUUGAUGAAAUUGUUGAGGGGAGGAAGAAGCUGUUGGACUUUUGCAGUCACAGGUAAAAACACAAAAAAAAGAGUAGUUGGAAAAAAAAAAAAAAAAAAAAAAAUUUACGUAGUAUAUGUCCUCUUGUUUUUGGCGCCUCAUGUUUUUAGCAGUUGAUAUAGAGGUUGCUAAGUUUGUUGUGUAAUGGUGUGCUUUUUCUUAAAACUCAAGUUCGAAUGGCUCGUUCUGUAAUUUAAACUAGAUUAUGAUCGAAUAUUCUCAUAUCGAAAGAGGAUAAAAAGUUACCAGUUCCGGAUGUGCGUCAAGUCAUUAGGUCAAUGUGUACUUGAACGUCAUCCUCUUUCACUAGAUUUAAAGUAUUUGGAGAAACUUUCAACUCCGUCUUGUAAAAUAGAAUUCAUUAUUAAUUAUUAUUAUAUUUUAUUUUUGGCAAGUGUUGGGACUGCCUAGUAA